GUGGCUCCAAGAGGAUGACAUUUUGAUAGUGGACAGGGGCUUCAGAGACUCAGCAGGUGUAUUAGCUGAUCUUGGUAUUCAGAUGGAGAUGCCGUCCUUUUUACAAAAAGGACAUAAGCAACACAAAACUGAAGAUGCCAAUAGUUCUCGGUUGAUUACAAAGAUAAGAUGGGUAGUGGAAUCCGUAAAUGCCAGAAUUAAGACAUGGCGCUACUUGGCAAGACAGCUCCCGAAUUCUCAAAUUCCAUAUGUUGGGGAAUAUGUAUGAAUCAUUAGUGCUCUCUGCAACAAAUACAGGCCACCUCUUAGCAGUGGAGAUGAAGAGAAUGACUUGCAGACAGCUGCAAAGAUGCGUCACCUCUCUACACAGACUAAUCUGCUGCAGACUGAGGUAGAAUCAAAUAAUUUGCAAAAGAAACGAUAUGUCUGGAGAAAGAUCGAUGACGAGAACAUUGAUAUCCCCGACUUUCCCCAAUAUACAGAAGAGGAAAUCCGGGAACUAACUCUUGGAGUUUACCAAGUUAAGUUGGCGAAACAUUACACCCAGGAACACAUGAGCCAGGAAGGGUGUGAAC